GGGCCCGUAGCUCAGUUGGUUAGAGCAAACGACUCAUAAUCGUUGGGUCGAAGGUUCAAGUCCUUCCGGGCCCA
rfam:Elusimicrobia bacterium GWC2_61_19 gwc2_scaffold_1193, whole genome shotgun sequence.